rnacentral:rRNA from 1 species
GUAUGUUAAGUUGAAAAAACGCGGUUGGAUUGCACAGACAGCUAGGAUGUUGGCUUGGAAGCAGCCAUUCAUUUAAAGAGUGCGUAACAGCUCACUAGUCGAGCGAUCCGGCAUGGAUAAUAAUCGGGCAUAAACAUACUACCGAAGCUAUGGACUUAAUUUAUUAAGUGGUAGGGGAGCAUUCUGUUUGCGUUGAAGGUGUACUGCGAGGUAUGCUGGAGCGUACAGAAAAGAAAAUGUAGGCAUAAGUAACGAUAAUGCGGGCGAGAAACCCGCACUCCGAAAGACCAAGGUUUCCUCAGCUAUGCUAAUCAGCUGAGGGUUAGUCGGGGCCUAACGCGAACCCGAAAGGGGUAGUGGAUGGACAACAGGUUAAUAUUCCUGUACCUGCUCACGUUAAAAGUGACGGAGGCGAAAAUUAGGUGCGUGCUGACGGAAUAGCACGUUGAAGCCAGUGGUAACACGGCGAUAGUACACUGAGGCUUCGGCCAAGGUGAUAAUCCUGAGGAUCGACUUCCAAGAAAAGCGAGUGAAGCAGCCCGUACCCCAAACCGACACAGGUGGUUGGGAUGAGAAUUCUAAGGAGCUCGAGAGAUUCAUGGCUAAGGAACUAGGCAAAAUAGACGCGUAACUUCGGGAGAAGCGUCGCCCCCCUCCGGGGGGGCCGCAGUGAAAGAGUCCAGGCGACUGUUUAUCAAAAACACAGAGCUUU